AUUAUGAUACUAUAAGCUCAGAAAUUAAGUUGAUCAAACAAUUCGAUCUGUGCUAUAAACAUUUAAAUGAACCUACAGAAUAGGCUAUCAAAAUAGAAUCAUCUGAAUGAUCUUUCUUGGACAUACAUUUUGAAGUGACCCUUCGAAUUAAAAAGGUUCCUCAGCUGCUUUUGAGGAAAAACAUCAAUGUGCUUGGCCACUCUGGUUUUUAAAUGGUAUUCUGAACUAAAGCAAGGAUUGUUCAAGGACGUUGAAAAUAGACCGUCUCUGGUUAAAUUAGUUCUACACCAAGCCUUUAGGUGGCAGUAAAACUAAUUGGCACAAUGCGAAUUCCACACACAAGCCACAAAGAAGCCAUCAGCCGCGGUCAACAACACCUUCCUGACUGAACAGAACCACGCGCUGUCUGUGUGGUUUACAAGUUUCUUGGCGAUAUGGGGGAAAAGUUCCUCACAUACCAACGGAAAAUGGGCUUCAUAUACAUGCUGCUGUCUCAUAAUAUGGCGAAGACGAGUCACCUGAAGGCCUAACUCGCCAUAGAAGACUGAAAGAAUUGUCCUGCAGGAUGCUGUGUCCUGCAAUCCUGUGUGCUGUGCUACAGACGCGUGUGGAGGUCAACCCAAAAUGGACACAGUCUCACCACAGAAGAGUGAAAGAGGAUCCUGGCAGGGAGACGGUAGUGUCCUGUAGAAUGGUGAUGGGCCAAUCUUACAAGAGACCACAGAAAACUGAUAUAGUGAACUAUAGAAACAACAGUGCCUGCUGCAGUAUAACGAGGACACCCUGAGCAGAGAGCUCCAAUAGACCCAGGUCCAGUGUCUUGGCAGGGUGAAAUGGCACUGAUAUGGUGUCCUGCAGGAUGCUGUGUCCUGCAAUCCUGUGUGCUGUGCUACAGACGCGUGUGGAGGUCAACCCAAAAUGGGCACAGUCUCACCACAGAAGAGUGAAAGAGGCUCCCAGAAGUGAGACUGAGUGCCUGUUGCAGUAUGACGAGGACGCAGUGACCAGAGACCUUCAGUAGACCCUGCUGGCAUGAUUGGCGGCUGAAGAACAUGAAAUCAACAGCAAUGUUUAUAAUGUUGUACAUACCUGUAUAGUCUGUAUUAAAAGGCAGUACCUGUAGUAUUUUUCCUCUUACUUUCAUAUUUACCACAUAUUUACUAUGAAUUGACAACUUUUACUAAAAUCCAUUUUUGUAUGUGCCCUGACUAAAACUAUCCUUAAACCUAACCUGUCAGAGAUGUAACAACAACCUGCUCUUAGCAAUGUGGCAGCAGUCUACUUGGAUGCAGCGGGGAACAUAGAACCCUUUUUUGAAAAAGCAUUGUAUGUUUCUGAGUUUUAUGAAUUGUGCCCUUCCCAAACAUCAUGCAUAGGCUAAGCGUAUCUAUGACACGCUGAUUUGAACUCACUAUCGCGUGUGUCCAAUACGCAUUUUCAAGUUAAGUCGUGCUCCACAACGCCCUGUGACAGGUUAGGUUUAGGGAUGGUUUUGGUUUAGGCACAAUUUAGGUAGAAAUUCGCCUAAUCUCGCUGUUCUUGGCAAAAGUAAAGCAGCAGAAACAUUACUUCACUGACAGGUUAGGUUUAGGGGUGGUUUUGGUUAGGGCACAGCAAAACAUAUUUGCGUUUAGUAACAGAAAUGCGCUGUGACAAAACAAAAUCGCCGACACGGCGGGAAAACUGUGCAAACCUCGUCACUAGUCAAAAGUGCAUGAAAGCGCUUUACCGUUGCGUUGAGGAGCACGCUUUGAAUUCAAAAUGCGUCGCACCAUGCACUAGCAUGCGAUACGUACGCUAAGCAUGAUGACAGCCUGCCCAAACUUAACCUGUCGGUAAUGAAAUGUUUCCUAGUUGUACAUUUGUGACCUGAGUGCUGUGUACAUCACUGCAUAUAGAGUAUAUUGUUUGCAGGGUAUGUGUGUAGUUGCAUGGUUCUUGUCAAAGUGUGUGUACAUUGUUUGGUGUGAUAUUAAAAGCGUUUUUUAAAAAAUCAUU